AACGAACGCUGGCGGCAGGCCUAACACAUGCAAGUCGAACGCACCGCAAGGUGAGUGGCGCACGGGUGAGUAACACGUGGGAAUGUACCCUUUGGUUCGGAAUAACGUCUGGAAACGGACGCUAAUACCGGAUGAGCCCUGCGGGGGAAAGAUUUAUCGCCAAAGGAGCAGCCCGCGUCUGAUUAGCUAGUUGGGUGGGUAAAGGCCUACCAAGACGACGAUCAGUAGCGGGACUGAGCGGAUGAUCAGCCACACUGGGACUGAGAAACGGACCCGACUCCGACGGGAGGAAGCGGUGUGGAAUAUUGGACAAUGGGCGGAAGCCUGAUCCAGCCAGGCCGCGUGAGUGAUGAAGGCCUUCGGGUUGUAAAGCUCUUUCGCACGCGACGAUGAUGACGGUAGCGUGAGAAGAAGCCCCGGCUAACUUCGUGCCAGCAGCCGCCGCAGUAA
rnacentral:rRNA from 1 species